GGGCCCAUAGCUCAGCUGGUUAGAGCAGUCGGCUCAUAACCGRAAGGUCCCUGGUUCAAGUCCAGGUGGGCCCACCA
rnacentral:tRNA from 1 species